UAGUUCAUUAUUUUUUGUUUAUCUGCGUUUCUUGAAUUGUUUGAUUCUUGAAGUCUGGUUUUGUAGCAGAAUAGCCUCAAAAUUUGUCCUGUUUUGAAGCUAAUGACCCACUUAUCAAAAUCAACAAAUAAUUAUGUGCUGAUUAUCGUGACUGUGAUCUGUCCUGUCAAAGAUUAUUGCAUUAUGUGAUUAGUCAAUUAAUUGCCACAUUAGGCAGUAACAUAAAUUUUAGGCUCAUCACUGAUGCAAAUUAAAGAAAUCCUACUUGCCAUUUGUGUCUUGAGACGAGGAUAAUUAUCAUUAAUUAGUAUACCAUCUUAGCUGGAUAAUCAUAUGGGCUCAAACUCCAUUCUUUGUCCUUAUCUGAUUAGCAAAUGGCCAAUGAAACCUAAGAGAGCGAGGUGGAACUUGGAAGUGAGUGUUCUCUGUUGAUUGAACUCAAAGAGAUGACUGAACACUCACUAGCCGUAGAUGCAUGGAUAAGAGAAGCACAAGAAGUGUCCAGGUUGAUGGGGAACAUAGAAAGCAGGAUCAAGAACAAGGGCCUUGCACAAGAGCACAGGCUUAAAGACAAUGCUCAAUCCAAGCUUUUGGAAGUCGGAGUUAAGCUUGAUCGCCUUGAAUCACUCCUCCAUAACCCUCCUUCAAAACCCAUCUUAACCAAAGAAGAUAUGAAAUUCCGAUGGGAAAUGCUAUCAGAUUUCCGCCUAAGAACAAGAGUGCUGGCCAUCAGUCUUUAUGCGUCACCAUCUUCAAAGAGGAAGUUUGCCUGUUUCAAAUGCGAAAGGAAUCAGUAAACCCACUGAAAGUGAAGAUCUAGUCAGAAGAUGCAACGCAAAGUCGAAUGCAGGUACAUUCUUUCUUAUCUUAUAUUUUAUUUUGUUUAAAAUAACUUGUUUACUUCUCUUUUAUUUUCCAAUUUAACUGCUCUAUAUUUUUGUUGAUAAGUAGAUGAAGCAAUCUUGGUCUUGUAUUCCAAUGAGUAUACUCAGGAAGGUGUGUUGGAUCAUCUGUUUGAUUAUUGAAGCAGCUGCACUUCUUUUCUUGCUGGUUAUCUUCUGCGCAGCUAUAUAAUAGUGUAUAGUCUACCUAGAUCUUCCUAGUGGUGUGAUAUUAGGAUCGCUUCUUCACGAGUUCAGAGCUUUUUCAGGACCAGUCUUGUGAAGUUUGCAUUGCUUUUGCUUGAUCAUUCCAGUCUUAAUUCAAGCUUUGAUCAAAGAUCAUCAAUCUGUGCUUCUUGUAUUUCUGAUUCCUGAAACUGCAAAUUUGUUAAUCUAGCUCCAACACUAUUCAAUUGUUUGAAGAGAUUGAAACUGAAAUCUCUCAGGCGUGAAAAAAAAGAUGAGAAGAUUAAGAAUGUAGUUUUGCUUGUUAUUGCUAUUGGAUUCUUGUGUUGCUAUUUCAAGAACUUAAUGCAAAACAGCUUAGUACUUCACAUCUGUGGCGGGAAGAAAGUUGAGUAAGAGGAGGAGAAUGGCAGAUGGCAUAGUCUGAGUGUAGCAGCAAGCAAUUUCUGAGGUGGUUCAGGCUGCCGGGGAAUGUGAAGAUGUAUCAGGUCAUGGCCAAGACCAUAGCACAUUGUUUAAGUAUCCAAUUCGUAUUUUGUUCCCUCCCUUGUAACUCCACUAUCAAGCUUCAGUAUCUUGAACUUAUACAUUCAUAGUCGCAAAAUCUCAUAUGAGUUCUAGCA